rnacentral:lncRNA from 1 species
AGUUGAGCUGUGGAGUCAAAUUGACUCUCUUAACACUGUGGGCUGGUUGUGUCGUGUGAUUUCAGAGCAGUGAGACCCAACAUAUCAUUUCCCGGCUCAAAGGAGGGAGCUGUCCCUUCUGAUGAGCAUGAAAUGGAUGGCAGGAAGAGGGAUAAAAUGACACUUGGCAGUGGAAGAUGAAGCCCUAAACUCCUGACUUCCUCAGGAUCAGAGGAUCUGCCAUCCCCCCUGAGCAGAGCACCCAUUGGAAUAAGUGUGUGUUUUUGUGUGCAAAAGGAAUGCUGCAAAUAUCAGGGAAAAGGAGAGCACCCAUCGGGGAGAGAGAGAGAGUGUGUGUGUGUGUGUGAGAGAGAGAGAGAGGUCAGAAGCCUUUACAAAGGUAUAAGGAUAUGGCUUUGCCAUGCAGUACAGUCAACCUGCCUUGAGGUUUGAGUGAUGGAGAGAGGGAAUAAAUGACAGGAGUACAGUGGAGCACAGAGCAUCCCUCCCUCUCCUGUACUAAGCCCUCCUCCUCAGAGAUUACCCUAGAAUCACUGGGUACUUCUUUAGGUCAUAAGAGUAGCUGCUCAUUGAUUGGACUGGGGAAGGUACAUUCCUUUGAGAAAUCUGGAUAAAUAGAGGCAGCAGAGCUCAGAUUUGCAGACAGGUAAAAGGCGAAUCUAGGACUUUGACAAGACAGAGGAAGAAUAGAAAGAAAUAGGCACUGAAUUAGGGAAUUGAUGUCUUAUUAAAUUGAUGUGCAUACCUCUGUCUCUUACCAACUUACAGUGCAGCUAUAAGACAGAAAUAAACAAAAAAGAGGGAGGAAAAAACCCAAGAUCUCGCUUCUAAACUCCCUCAGCAGAACGUGAAAGAGCCCCAACCUUCUCACUGAGUUCUUUAAAACCCAACUAUUUAAACAUUUGCCAGUUUAGAGAGGAUCUUUAGAGGUUUAGACGAGGAUCUUUGUCAAGAGCUAUGGAAAGCUUUAGAGUUUUUUUCCUGCUGAUUUUUCUUUGUUCACAGAUUUUCUGUUUUGAAGAUGUGCCCAGUUUGGAGAAAGACCCUUGGACAGCCCCGUCUCUGAAGGAUGAGGGCUUGCAGAGCAGCUCCCUCCAGCGCUUUGCACAGCUGGUGAAAAGGGGGAAAUUCCAGCAGUUCUAUGGCCUGAUGGGAAAACGGGCUAGUGGGCACCAAGGAGCGACGUUCAUAGGACUCAUGGGACGAAGAUCCUCCAGUGGAGAGUCAACACAGGACUGGGACAACAGCCAGCCACUUCCUGCAUGGGAGCCAUAGCAUGACACUCCAUCAGUGACCAACAUCGGCUCCUUUCCUUCACAAGCACUAGAUUACGAUAGCUAUGUCGUCUGCUCGUCCAUUCACACCCCAUGAACGGAGUAACAGUGCUUUUCUAGUACCAGAUAAGCACUUUAGGAUCUUUUCUUUUACUAUUGUCUCCUUUGGUCAAACUG